UACGGGGGGAGCAAGCGUUGUUCGGAUUUACUGGGCGUAAAGGGCGCGUAGGCGGCCAGCACAAGUCAGUUGUGAAAUCUCCGAGCUUAACUCGGAAAGGUCAACUGAUACUGUGCGGCUAGAGUGCGGAAGGGGCAACUGGAAUUCUCGGUGUAGCGGUGAAAUGCGCAGAUAUCAGGAGGAACACCGGUGGCGAAGGCGGAUCUCUGGGCCUUACCUGACGCUGAGGCGCGAAAGCUAGGGGAGCGAACAGG
rnacentral:rRNA from 1 species